rnacentral:rRNA from 1 species
AACGAACGCUGGCGGCAUGCCUAACACAUGCAAGUCGAACGAGACCUCCGGGUCUAGUGGCGCACGGGUGCGUAACGCGUGGGAACCUGCCCUUAGGUUCGGAAUAACUCCCCGAAAGGGGUGCUAAUACCGGAUAAUGUCUUCGGACCAAAGAUUUAUCGCCUUUGGAUGGGCCCGCGUUGGAUUAGCUAGUUGGUAGGGUAAAAGCCUACCAAGGCGACGAUCCAUAGCUGGUCUGUGAGGAUGAUCAGCUACACUUGGACUGAGACACGGCCCAGACUCCUACGGGAGGCAGCAGUGGGGAAUAUUGGACGAUGGGCGAAAGCCUGAUCCAGCAAUGCCGCGUGAGUGAUGAAGGCCUUAGGGUUGUAAAGCUCUUUUACCCGGGAUGAUAAUGACAGUACCGGGAGAAUAAGCUCCGGCUAACUCCGUG